rnacentral:sRNA from 1 species
AUGGAAAGCCGGAAUAAGUUUAUUUAUUUGCCUGUACAGAUUUUGAAUUUGAAAAUUGCAGCCCUAGUAGAUACGGGAAGCUCAAUAAAUGUAAUUUCACAACAAUUAUUUAAUUCAAUACCUGAAACUCACAAGUCAUGGGUAAAUUCAACUAGUGAGAAAAUUGUUUUAGCUAAUAACCAAUCUGUUAACAUUAUUGGUGUUUCACGAAUUAAAAUACAAAUUCCACAAGGAAAACAUUGGAUAUUAGUACAUCAUGUAUUUUCACAAACAUCACAUCCGUUAUUAUUAGGCACAGACUAUUUGGUCUCGAAGAAAAUAAUGCUAGAUUUUUCAAAGUUGACCGUAUGUUCCCGUUUCUGUAAAGUGAAAAAUCAAAAGCGUUUGUCAGUUUUGCCAAAUUCUGAGAUGAUAGUAUGGGGCAAAGUUCAUAAUGAUAUUUUACAUGGUAUGCAAGGAAUAUGCACGAACCAUAAUUAUUUGUUUAAAUUAGGUGUUUUGACAGCGAAAUCGGUAGUUUCUGUAAAUAAAGAUAAACUGGUGCCUGUCAAACUGUUUAAUUCUACAAAUGAAAUAGUUGAUAUUCCAAGGGGUCAGAUUGUUGCGAAAUUUGAGAUACUUGACAAUGACUCUGAUUUAAUAGCUACAUGUAUAGGAAAUAGAGAAAAUCCAGAGGUUAAUAAUGUACAGUUUUCGACCGAAAAGUGUGAAGAUGGGGAACUUAGUGGGACAAAAUUUUUCUCCUAUUUUGAUAUUCCAAAACAUUUAUCUGAGUCUGAACAAGGACAAUUGAAAGGGUUUUUAAAAUCGCAUGACAACAUAUUUGUAACAGAUGAAAAUCCUGCUUUAGGUUUCACGGACGUAGUGCAACACAAGAUUAUACUAAAACCGGAUUUCAAGCCAAAAUAUCAGCGAUCGUAUCGCCUUACCCCAGUAAAAAAACAAGUACUUCGGGAUCAUCUCGAUCAUUUGCUAAAACAAGGAAUAAUUUCCCCGGUUGGUGAAACCGAAGAUAUACCCAUCACAAGUCCCAUAGUGUUAGUUUCAAAAAGAGCCAAGGAGUCCCGAAAUAGCCAAAAUAGCGAUUUCAAUCAGUCUUCAAACAGUCUCUCUCAGUUCAGAUUUUGUUGCGAUUUCCGUUAUUUAAAUUCUCAGUCUCAGCAGUUUUUUUAUGGACUACCAGAAUUACAGGAUUUAACAGAGUCUUUCUCAAACAGGACCCCGAAUUUCAUAACUCAUAUCGAUUUAAGUUCAGGAUUUUUUCAGAUGCCUAUAUCUCCAGACAGCCAACGAUAUACCGCAUUCAACACUUGUUACGGUACAUAUCAAUUUCUCCGCCUACCAAUGGGUUUAAGUUCAUCGCCAGGAUCAUUUCAACUUUUAAUGGACAAAGUGCUCCAUGGGUUAACAUUCAAUUCUUGUCUGUGUUAUUUAGAUGACGUUUUAAUAACAUCAGAAACCUUUGAGCAACACCUUAGUGAUUUACAUGAGGUAUUUAAUCGUUUACAAGCCGCUGGCCUAAAAUUGGGCCCUAAGAAAUGUCAUUUUGCACAGAAAUCUUGUUUGUUUCUUGGCCACCUUAUUUCUAAAGACGGUAUACAACCACCGCCUGAUCGAAUUACAGCAGUUCAAGAAUAUCCGUCACCCCGAUCAGUACGUGAACUUCGCCGUGCACUAGGUCUGUUGAACUGGUUCAAGAAAUUUAUUCCAAAUUUUAGCGCUGAAAUAGAACCUCUAACCAAACUUCUUCGGAAAAACGCCAAAUUUCGUUGGACAUCAGAACAAGAAAAUGCAUUUACCAAGUUGAAAUCUUUAUUGACAAAUUCUCCGAUCUUAGCAUUUCCAAAUUUUCAUACUGAGUUUUAUUUAGCAGUGGAUACCAGUUCUAAAGGUAUAGGAUACAUGUUGUACCAGUAUCAGGAGACAGCUAGCGAUAGUAAGGAGGUCAGUGUAAUUCGUUUUGGUUCUAAGUCAUUAAGCAAAUGGCAAAGAUCGUACGGACCUACAAAAUUAGAAUUACUAGGGAUGGUAACAGCUAUUUUAGAUUGUGCAAUGUAUUUGAGGGGUCGUAAAUUUAUUGUCGAGUGCGACCACCAGGCCCUUCGGCCUAUAUUUCAAAAACAACUUAAAGGGGCCAUAUAUGAACGCUGGGUAGCAAUAUUGCAACAGUUCAAUUUUGAACUACGAUAUAAACCGGCAAAAGAUAUGCAGGUUGCAGACGCUUUAUCUCGGUCAACUCGAUUGACUAGUUGUGAAGGUAUUGAUAGUCCUGAUCAAGAGGACCCAUUUUUUCCGUACGUUCCCGAACAUGUUGGUGAUAUACAAUUUGAAGGAAAGCGUGUUAAAUUUCCGAAUUUUAUGGAUUCUGAAAGUACUGAUUUUCAAGAACACAAUCUUCCGGAAGUUAACAACGUAAUGCAAAGUCACGACUCCAUUAGGAAUUUAAAACAUUUUAAGCGCAGUAAACAAUUUCAAAACAAACAAUUAGAUUUUGGAUAUGACGCUGAUACAGAAGAUUACGAUGUAGCAGAUCAAACAAUUUCCAAAAUAAAAAGUCAGUUACCAGAUUACAUAAAAUAUCAACAAUUCACGGACAAAUGUGACUCUGAAGACCGUAAUAUAACAGCAGAUACAGGAAACCGUGAUAUACCGGAAACUUCAUCUCAAAAUAUUGACACUGAAAAUCAGUCAGAAUCAGUCGAUCACAAAACAAGUGCUAAAAAUCAGGAUACAGAAAUUUCUACGGAAAAGGAAGAUCAUUCAAAUUUUACAACGUUAAAUACCGAUGGUGACGAAACCCAAACUAAUCUUAGUACAGAAACGGCUACAAGUGAGAACAAUACGCAAGUUAAAUUCACUGAUUCAAUUGAAAUUUUUAGACAUGGUGAUUUUAGUAAGGACACUUUUCAAAAACUGCAAGUGCGGGACCCAUACUUUGGACCUUUUAUAUCAUAUUUUGAACAGAAUAAAUUACCCUCUUCACAGAAAGCUGCUAGAAAACUUCUACUCGAAACUCCAAAUUAUGACAUGGUGGAUGGAUUGCUUUUUCAUACUCGUACAGCAAAGUGUAAACGGACAAAACUUUUCACUUCGUAUCAACUAGCGUUACCAGAGGUCGCUAUUAAAACCGUUCUUCGAUUGUACCAUGACUCACCGUUAGGUGGACACGGUGGCAUUCAACAUACAGCGGACAUGUUAAAAGAACAUUAUUAUUUCCCGAAAUUAUUACAGAGUGUGACGGAUUAUGUUAGAAGUUGUCACGAUUGUCAGAGCCGAAAAGUUACUCAAGUUAAAACAAAAGCAGGUAUCGUCGCUUUUAAGACACCUGAAGCGCCUUUUCAGGUUUGGCAAAUGGACCUAUACGGACCUGUACCAGUGUCAGCAAAAGGAAACUCUUAUAUAUUUACAGCCGUCGAUGCGUUCACAAAAUUUUUAGUUGCAGAGCCUAUACCAAACAAAGAUGCGUUGACAGUUGCGGAAGUCUUGUUUAAACUUGUAUCUCAAUAUGGAGUUUGCGAUACUCUGAUCAGUGACCGUGGUUCGGAAGCCACCGCUCGUGCAAUUAAGGAAGUGUGUCGAUUACUGGAGAUAAAUCAGCAAUACACACCGAGUUUUACUCACCACUGUCUUGGUUUGUGUGAAAGAACGCAUAGAACGUUUGCAGAACGCAUGACGCCUUACAUUCAACAGGGAAAACAUUGGGAGGAUAUGGUACCAUCUAUUUUAUUUUCAUUAAAUUCAACUGCCAAUGACAGUGUAAAAUAUUCACCUUUUGAAAUUCUUUACGGCAGUCGUCCUAAAUUUCCUUUGUCGGGACACGUUCGUGAUUUGAAUUUAGCGUCAAUCCCAAAAGAUUAUCAUGACUAUCUUAAACAAUUUUCCGAAAGAUUAGAUAUUAUUCGGAAUGAAGUAAAGGAUCACGCACUAAAGUCGCAAACAGCAAUGAUGGAACGCGCUAAUCAAAAAAGUUCAUAA